rnacentral:rRNA from 1 species
UACGUAGGUGGCGAGCGUUGUCCGGAUUUACUGGGCGUAAAGAGCGCGCAGGCGGCUGGUCAAGUCCGAUGUGAAAGCUCCCGGCUUAACUGGGAAAUUGCAUCGGAAACUGAUCGGCUGGAAGGUGGGAGAGGAGAGCGGAAUUCCCGGUGUAGUGGUGAAAUGCGUAGAUAUCGGGAGGAACACCAGUGGCGAAAGCGGCUCUCUAGGCCGUACCUGACGCUCAGAUGCGAAAGCCAGGGGAGAGAACGGG